rnacentral:snRNA from 1 species
ACUAAAAUAAAUGAGAAAUAAAUAAAAUUGGAAUGGUACAGUGAUUAGCACGGCCCCUGCGAAAAGAUAACGUGCAAGUUCAAGAAGCAUUCCAUAAUUUU